CCGCGCCGCGCCGCCCCUCUGCUCCGCGGCGGGCGGAGCGGAGCCCUCAGGGAGGCCCAGCGCGGCCGGGCGGACGCGCAGCUCUCGCUGCCGGCACGGCCGUCAGUGCAUUUGCCCUCAGGCACCGCUUAGCCGUGCCCGUGUUGCGCUGCUCCUAUUUGCUAUUGCCUGAUCUUUUUUUCCUGCCGUAACCUGCGCGCGUGAGGAGCAGCGGCGGGGACAGGGCAGGGCCUACGGCAGUGCCGACAGCACCGGCUACACUGCAUCAACGUUAACGCCAGCUGUUCCACAUAGGUAAAUACACAGGCUGCGUCAAGACAUACUGCGAUCUGUGGUGUGAACACAAAACCAAGUCUAAGCUUCAGCCCUUUAUAUGGAAUCUCCAGUAAGAUGAAGUUUUAGUACUGAAAACAGGUUCUCAGUGCUUGACUGCAUGAGCUUCUAAAGACCAGGCUUCUCAAAACAGGGAAUGUUGUCUUCAAAAACUUUAUGAAAAUUAUGUUAAAUUCAAUUAAUCAUUUAAAGGUUCUUCUUUGUUUGGCACUAGUAAACCAGUGAUUGACACGCGCGCGCACACACACACUUUUUUUUUUUUUUUUUUAAAGAACCAUAACUAAUAACUGUGGGGGAAGAGAAACUAAGGUUACUGCUGUAUAUACAGGAUGUCUUCUUGUCAUCUCAGAAUAAAAUUUAUAGUUUGAUUUAGUAUCAGGAGGUCUACUGAACGUUAAUGAACACACUUUCUAAGAAUUUCUAAGUAAAACCAUUCCUUUAACUUGCCCUUUUUUCCUAGUAGAAGAGCCUUUUUAUAUACCUAGGAAACUAAACAUACUAAAGAACUCCUUCAUAAAAAAUAUACUUACUCAGCUGGAAAACCUUUGAAGAAUCUGAAGUUGUUGGUAUAAAGGAAAUGGCAAAGUAAGCCAGCAGUUCAUAACAGCAGCUAUAAUGGUGAAAUGAUAACUGUUUACAAAGGCAAAUGGCAAAUUGAUUUUAAUGAAAUUAAUCAAUACUGCUGCAGUAUUCAGACCACUCCCAGCCAUACCCUGCUGAAGUAACAUGUACCUCACAUUGUUAAAGUGUGCUAUCAUGAUUUAAAUAGCAUAGCUUGAAUAUUUCUCUUAACAAUAUAUGAGUUUGAAGAUAUCAAGAUAAACACCUAGCAACCUGUCCCAGUUUUACUAAAAACUGGUUGACCAUUGCCUGCAUGAUACAGUAGGAUGGUAAGACUACCAUUUAGUUUACUUUGAUAAGUAUCAGAAUUUUAACUUGACUAAAACUGGAUUAAGUUUUCUUAUUUUACAAGAACACUCAUAUCCAGCAUAUGCACAAGAUAGUAUCAAGAAGCACACUGCUUAAGUUGACAAUAAUUUAUUCUGUUUAGGCACAUUCAAUAAAUACCAAGCUUUUAGCUUCAGUUUGGCAAUCCUUUCCCACUGAAAAUCUGGUUGGUUGGUUCUUUUUUUUUGUGGCAUAAACUCCAUUGCCAGCAAUGGAUGCAUCAGAACAAGAAAUUAAUAAAUAAUGCACACAGACAGCAGUUCUAUAAACAUACCUCCUCUCUUAAAGGUAUGAUACAGAUUUACUGAACAAGUCUCAAGCAGGUUCUUCACAGAAGAAAUUCUGCUACAAGCUGUCCCCUGAACAUUUUUCUUCAAUGUUGGUAAUUUACUUCAUGGAGUACAUACAGUAUUUAUUACUAUAAACACUAGUGAUGGAUCAUUAAAAAUACCAAAUUUGUUUUCUCUGAAGGCAGGCUGAGGCAUUGGACUAUUACUGGUGUGCUCUUGUUGAGCAUUCCACACACAGGAAAAGGCAAUAUGAAGCUUUUGCGCUGUUCUUUAUGUCAGCUUUGUAUGAGGGUUAUUUUUUUCGCUUCAGAUUGCUUUUAAACCGCUGCUCCAAGUUUUAAGUUUAAAUGUAACAGAUGUUUUGUUUGACUUUCCAUGAAGUAUUGUGUUAAAAAACACAAUUGAAGAAAAUUCCUGCUCAUGAUGAAUCACUCUCAAGUACUCACAUUUGAAUAUCCUUCUAAAUUUCAUUCAUUUCUUAUUAAAAAUGUGAUUUUAUAAAAGCGUGAAGACUACAGAAAACCAAUGAACAUAGAAGAGUUAAUCUUGAAGAGGUUUUUCACAAUGGUAUGUUACAUAUCACCAAACUUCUGCUUUAGCAAAAGGGAAAAAAAAAUAAAAAUAAAUUCUCUCCCAACUAUUUACACACAGGAAUUACCCUGCUGUGGGACUAGUCACUUUUAUUCUGCAGUCCCUCUAACCCAAGGCAUGACCUUAGGUAUAUCCUUUUGCGUUUUAGCCUCUUGGAAGUUUUCAGCAAACCUUUCUCUUGCUUUAUCCCAGUUCUUUUUAUUCUUGCUCUGGAUGAUCUGAACAUCUUCGAUUGAGGCUGGUCUACUUGUACCCAAACCUGCAUGCAUCUUAUGUAACUGAAGGUGGAUCUGUCAAAUUAAAAAUCACUGUAACUGUAAGUUAGGUAUUUUAAAUACUUUUAAUCAUGUUUUGUAAUACUACCCCCCCUUCCCAAACACUUUUGUUUAAGGUUCUAACAGUAAUAAACCCAGAUCAUAGACUUGA